rnacentral:rRNA from 1 species
GACGAACCGUCCGAACGUUAUUCGGAGUCACUGGGCUUAAAGGGUGCGUAGGCGGCGCGGAAAGUUGGGUGUGAAAUCCCUCGGCUCAACCGAGGAACUGCGCCCAAAACUACCGUGCUCGAGGGAGAUAGAGGUGAGCGGAACUUAGGGUGGAGCGGUGAAAUGCGUUGAUAUCCUAAGGAACACCGGUGGCGAAAGCGGCUCACUGGAUCUCUUCUGACGCUGAGGCACGAAAGCUAGGGUAGCGAACGGG